CGCRRRCGSCCUUAGAGUUUGAUCCUGGCUCAGAACGAACGCUGGCGGCGUGCUUAACACAUGCAAGUCGAACGUGAUCCAGAGCUUGCUCUGGUGAAAGUGGCGCACGGGUGAGUAACGCGUGGAUAACCUGCCCUGGUAUCUGGGAUAACAUCUCGAAAGGGGUGCUAAUACCGGAUAAGCCUACGGACUCCUCGGAGUCUGCAGGAAAAGGAGGCCUCUAUUUAUAAGCUUCCGUAUCAUGAUGGGUCCGCGUACCAUUAGCUAGUUGGUGGGGUAAUGGCCUACCAAGGCGACGAUGGUUAGCUGGUCUGAGAGGAUGAUCAGCCACACUGGAACUGAGACACGGUCCAGACUCCUACGGGAGGCAGCAGUGGGGAAUUUUGCGCAAUGGGGGAGACCCUGACGCAGCAACGCCGCGUGAGUGAUGAAGGCUUUCGGGUCGUAAAGCUCUGUCAGAGGGGAAGAAAUGAAACGUGCUAAUAUCACGUUUUCUUGACGGUACCCUCAAAGGAAGCACCGGCUAACUCCGUGCCAKCAGCCGCGGUAAUAC
rnacentral:rRNA from 1 species